rnacentral:rRNA from 1 species
AAAUUGAAGAGUUUGAUCAUGGCUCAGAUUGAACGCUGGCGGCAGGCCUAACACAUGCAAGUCGAACGGUAACAGGAAGCAGCUUGCUGCUUCGCUGACGAGUGGCGGACGGGUGAGUAAUGUCUGGGAAACUGCCUGAUGGAGGGGGAUAACUACUGGAAACGGUAGCUAAUACCGCAUAACGUCGCAAGACCAAAGAGGGGGACCUUCGGGCCUCUUGCCAUCGGAUGUGCCCAGAUGGGAUUAGCUAGUAGGUGGGGUAACGGCUCACCUAGGCGACGAUCCCUAGCUGGUCUGAGAGGAUGACCAGCCACACUGGAACUGAGACACGGUCCAGACUCCUACGGGAGGCAGCAGUGGGGAAUAUUGCACAAUGGGCGCAAGCCUGAUGCAGCCAUGCCGCGUGUGUGAAGAAGGCCUUCGGGUUGUAAAGCACUUUCAGCGGGGAGGAAGGCGGUAAGGUUAAUAACCUUGCCGAUUGACGUUACCCGCAGAAGAAGCACCGGCUAACUCCGUGCCAGCAGCCGCGGUAAUACGGAGGGUGCAAGCGUUAAUCGGAAUUACUGGGCGUAAAGCGCACGCAGGCGGUCUGUCAAGUCGGAUGUGAAAUCCCCGGGCUCAACCUGGGAACUGCAUUCGAAACUGGCAGGCUAGAGUCUUGUAGAGGGGGGUAGAAUUCCAGGUGUAGCGGUGAAAUGCGUAGAGAUCUGGAGGAAUACCGGUGGCGAAGGCGGCCCCCUGGACAAAGACUGACGCUCAGGUGCGAAAGCGUGGGGAGCAAACAGGAUUAGAUACCCUGGUAGUCCACGCCGUAAACGAUGUCGACUUGGAGGUUGUGCCCUUGAGGCGUGGCUUCCGGAGCUAACGCGUUAAGUCGACCGCCUGGGGAGUACGGCCGCAAGGUUAAAACUCAAAUGAAUUGACGGGGGCCCGCACAAGCGGUGGAGCAUGUGGUUUAAUUCGAUGCAACGCGAAGAACCUUACCUACUCUUGACAUCCAGAGAACUUUCCAGAGAUGGAUUGGUGCCUUCGGGAACUCUGAGACAGGUGCUGCAUGGCUGUCGUCAGCUCGUGUUGUGAAAUGUUGGGUUAAGUCCCGCAACGAGCGCAACCCUUAUCCUUUGUUGCCAGCGGUCCGGCCGGGAACUCAAAGGAGACUGCCAGUGAUAAACUGGAGGAAGGUGGGGAUGACGUCAAGUCAUCAUGGCCCUUACGAGUAGGGCUACACACGUGCUACAAUGGCGCAUACAAAGAGAAGCGACCUCGCGAGAGCAAGCGGACCUCAUAAAGUGCGUCGUAGUCCGGAUUGGAGUCUGCAACUCGACUCCAUGAAGUCGGAAUCGCUAGUAAUCGUAGAUCAGAAUGCUACGGUGAAUACGUUCCCGGGCCUUGUACACACCGCCCGUCACACCAUGGGAGUGGGUUGCAAAAGAAGUAGGUAGCUUAACCUUCGGGAGGGCGCUUACCACUUUGUGAUUCAUGACUGGGGUGAAGUCGUAACAAGGUAACCGUAGGGGAACCUGCGGUUGGAUCACCUCCUUACCUUAAAGAA